UACAGAGGUCCCAAGCGUUGUUCGGAUUCACUGGGCGUAAAGGGUGCGUAGGCGGCCGGGUAAGUCUGAUGUGAAAUCUCCGAGCCUAACUCGGAAACUGCAUCGGAUACUAUUCGGCUAGAGGAUUGGAAGGGAGACUGGAAUUCUCGGUGUAGCAGUGAAAUGCGUAGAUAUCGAGAGGAACACCAGUGGCGAAGGCGAGUCUCUGGACAAUUCCUGACGCUGAGGCACGAAAGCCAGGGGAGCAAACGGG
rnacentral:rRNA from 1 species